rnacentral:rRNA from 1 species
AUUCCAGCUCCAAGAGCGUAUAUUAAAGUUGUUGCAGUUAAAAAGCUCGUAGUUGGAUUUCUGGUACAACGCGCCUGGCCCGCUUUUAGUGAGUGCCGGUGCGCGUUUGCCAUCCUUCUAGAAAACGUUUCUACCUGGGCAACCGGGCCGGACUCGCGAUCUAGAUCUUUUACUUUGAAAAAAUUAGAGUGUUUAAAGCAGGCUUUUGCUGUGAAUACAUUAGCAUGGAAUAAUAAUCUAGGACUUCGGUUCUAUUUUGUUGGUUUCUAGUACUGAAGUAAUGAUUGAUAGGGAUAGUUGGGGGUGCUAGUAUUGGCCGGCCAGAGGUGAAAUUCUUGGAUUCGGUCAAGACUAACUUAUGCGAAAGCAUUCACCAAGGAUGUCUUCAUCG